CUGUGUUGUGUAUGUUACUUGCCAGUAACAUCAACUCUGUUCACAUCAUUCAUUGCUACCAAGUGAUUUGUGGUUAUACCAAAUAUGCAUUUUUCUUUGUACUACAUUUGUUCAAAUAUCAUUUAUGUCCUCUUAUAAGAUGCUACAGUUUUAUUUUUAUAGGUCUCAUGCUUGUAUUAUGUUACUAAUGUUAUCAUCAUCAGAACAAAUACUUUUCAACCAAGCUUCCCUUUCCGUGGGAUUCCAUACAGAGUUCAUCUGAUUUGCUAUACUCAGAUGUUUUGCAGCAUUCCUGGCCUCUCCCUACUAGAGGACUGUAGCGACCACCCUCCAGUUAUGACAACUGAAAAUACCUCAGGACAUUACUGAACAGCCCCUGGGAGGCAAAAGUACCUCCAGUUGAGGACCACUGAAACUGCAAAGAGCAGUAAAUGCAGAAAAGAUAAAACGAAGAGUCCUUACCAUCAGGUAAAAUGUUGUAUGAAGAGUUUUUCUGAAGAUAUAAUUUACAUAAAUUUAAGCAAUAUAGACAACAUAUGUAUGAAGUAGACAUCGAAUAAAAUUUUCAUUCUAAAUUUAGUCAUUAUCUUAAUUUUUGGCAAACUGCUGUGUACUUUUGCUGGUGUCCAAAAUAAAAUAAAAUUUCA